AUUUAGAUAGUUUAAUUAAGAAUAAUAAUUUGUGGCAUUAUAGGUGAAUUAUAUUCUCUAAAUC
rnacentral:tRNA from 1 species